GGAUGACCGCUGGCGGCGUGCCUACUCCAUGCAAGUCGAGCGAACAGACGAGGAGCUUGCUCCUCUGACGUUAGCGGCGGACGGGUGAGUAACACGUGGAUAACCUACCUAUAAGACUGGGAUAACUUCGGGAAACCGGAGCUAAUACCGGAUAAUAUAUUUAACCGCAUGGUUCAAUAGUGAAAGACGGUUUUGCUGUCACUUAUAGAUGGAUCCGCGCCGCAUUAGCUAGUUGGUAAGGUAACGGCUUACCAAGGCAACGAUGCGUAGCCGACCUGAGAGGGUGAUCGGCCACACUGGAACUGAGACACGGUCCAGACUCCUACGGGAGGCAGCAGUAGGGAAUCUUCCGCAAUGGGCGAAAGCCUGACGGAGCAACGCCGCGUGAGUGAUGAAGGUCUUCGGAUCGUAAAACUCUGUUAUUAGGGAAGAACAAAUGUGUAAGUAACUAUGCACGUCUUGACGGUACCUAAUCAGAAAGCCACGGCUAACUACGUG
rnacentral:rRNA from 1 species